GGAGAGAUGGCCGAGCGGUUCAAGGCGUAGCAUUGGAACUGCUAUGUAGACUUUUGUUUACCG
rnacentral:tRNA from 1 species